rnacentral:rRNA from 1 species
UGGCGGCAGGCCUAACACAUGCAAGUCGAACGAGAAGCCACCUUCGGGUGGUGGACAGUGGCAGACGGGUGAGUAACGCGUGGGAACGUGCCUUUCGGUUCGGGAUAACCCAGGGAAACUUGGGCUAAUACCGGAUACGCCCUUCGGGGGAAAGAUUCAUUGCCGAAAGAUCGGCCCGCGUCGGAUUAGCUAGUUGGUGGGGUAAAAGCCUACCAAGGCGACGAUCCGUAGCUGGUCUGAGAGGAUGACCAGCCACACUGGGACUGAGACACGGCCCAGACUCCUACGGGAGGCAGCAGUGGGGAAUAUUGGACAAUGGGCGCAAGCCUGAUCCAGCCAUGCCGCGUGGGUGAAGAAGGCCUUAGGGUUGUAAACCCCUUUCAGCGGGGAAGAUAAUGACGGUACCCGCAGAAGAAGUCCCGGCUAACUCCGUGCCAGCAGCCGCGGUAAUACGGAGGGGACUAGCGUUGUUCGGAAUUACUGGGCGUAAAGCGCACGUAGGCGGAUUUGUAAGUCAGGGGUGAAAUCCCGAGGCUCAACCUCGGAACUGCCUUUGAUACUGCAAAUCUCGAGUCCGGAAGAGGUGAGUGGAAUUCCUAGUGUAGAGGUGAAAUUCGUAGAUAUUGGGAAGAACACCAGUGGCGAAGGCGGCUAACUGGUCCGGUACUGACGCUGAGGUGCGAAA